ACCCGCUGAACUUAAGCAUAUCAAUAAGCGGAGGAAAAGAAAAUAACAAUGAUUUCCCUAGUAACGGCGAGUGAAGAGGAAAGAGCUCAAAGUUGGAACCUGUUUGGCCUAGCUAAACCGGAUUGUAGACUGUAGAAGUGUUUUCCAGGCAAGCCGAGUAAAUAAGUCCUUUGGAACAGGGCAUCAUAGAGGGUGAGAAUCCCGUCUUUGGCUUGAGCAUUUGCCUUUUGUGAUACGCUUUCAAAGAGUCAGGUUGUUUGGGAAUGCAGCCUAAAUUGGGUGGUAAAUCUCACCUAAAGCUAAAUAUUGGCGAGAAACCGAUAGCGAACAAGUACCGUGAGGGAAAGAUGAAAAGAACUUUGAAAAGAGAGUUAAACAGUAUGUGAAAUUGUUAAAAGGGAACCGUUUGGAGCCAGACUGGCUUGUCUGUAAUCAAUCUAGGCUUCGGCCUGGAUGCACUUGCAGGCUAUGCCUGCCAACGACAAUUUGACUUGAGGGAAAAAACUAGGGGAAAUGUGGCCCACUUGUGGGUGUUAUAGUCCCUUAGAAAAUACCUUGGGUUGGAUUGAGGAACGCAGCGAAUGCUUUUUGGCGAGUUUUCCAGGAAGGUUUUCUGAGGUACUACGGUAUCAAGGUUGAUCUUUUUGGUUAUACUUCUAUUCGCUUAGGUUGUUGGCUUAAUGACUCUAAAUGACCCGUCUUGAAACACGG
rnacentral:rRNA from 1 species